rnacentral:rRNA from 1 species
GAUUUAUCGGUAAGAGAUCAGCUUGUACAGUAUCAGUUAGUUGGUGGGGUAAUGGCUUACCAAGACUAUGACGCUUAACUGGUUUGAGAGGAUGAUCAGUCACACUGGAACUGAGACACGGUCCAGACUCCUACGGGAGGCAGCAGUGGGGAAUAUUGCACAAUGGACGAAAGUCUGAUGCAGCAACGCCGCGUGGAGGAUGACACAUUUCGGUGCGUAAACUCCUUUUAUAUGAGAAGAUAAUGACGGUAUCAUAUGAAUAAGCACCGGCUAACUCCGUGCCAGCAGCCGCGGUAAUACGGGGGGUGCAAGCGUUACUCGGAAUCACUGGGCGUAAAGAGCAUGUAGGCGGAUUGAUAAGUUUGAAGUGAAAUCCUAUAGCUUAACUAUAGAACUGCUUUGAAAACUGUUAAUCUAGAAUGUGGGAGAGGUAGAUGGAAUUUCUGGUGUAGGGGUAAAAUCCGUAGAGGUCAGAAGGAAUACCGAUUGCGAAGGCGAUCUACUGGAACACUAUUGACGCUGAGAUGCGAAAGCGUGGGGAGCAAACGGGAUUAGAUACCCCGGUAGUCCACGCCCUAAACGAUGCACACUAGUUGUUGUGAGGCUAGACCUUGCAGUAAUGCAGUUAACACAUUAA